rnacentral:antisense_RNA from 1 species
CUUCAGCGAGCCCAACCACAGCGGGCUGCCGGGAUCCCGGUGCUGCCCGUACGUCGCCAGCAGUGCCUCCGCCUC